GUGGGGAAUAUUGGACAAUGGCCGGAAGGCUGAUCCAGCCAUGCCGCGUGCGGGAAGACGGCCCUAUGGGUUGUAAACCGCUUUUGUUGGGGAGCAAUAAGGUCCACGUGUGGAUUGAUGAGAGUACCCAGCGAAUAAGCAUCGGCUAACUCCGUGCCAGCAGCCGCGGUAAUACGGAGGAUGCAAGCGUUAUCCGGAUUUAUUGGGUUUAAAGGGUGCGUAGGCGGAUUUUUAAGCGUGAGGUGAAAUGCCCGGGCUCAACCUGGGAACUGCCUCGCGAACUGGAAGUCUGGAAUGUCCGUGCCGUGGGAGGAAUGUGUGGUGUAGCGGUGAAAUGCAUAGAGAUCACACAGAACACCGAUUGCGAAGGCAUCUCACGAACGGAUGAUUGACGCUGAGGCACGAAAGCGUGGGGAUCAAACAGG
rnacentral:rRNA from 1 species